AUUCUCUUUGGUGUCCCGAAGUAGCAAAGUUUAGGACAUGGUAUGCAUUUCAUAUUUUUCACUCUUGCAUUUGCUCCACAGGCAAAAAAAAGAGACUAUAAAACAGUGCGAUUCCUUUAACAAGUUUGCAUCACACUCCAAAAUGGAGUGUACGGCGUUUUCUUCGACGUCAAAUUCUAGGGUUUUCAAUUCAAUCACUAAACUUCCAAGCUUAACACCUCAAUUCCCCAAAUCAAUACGUUACAACUCUUCGUUUCGUGUUUCUGAUUUCUCAUGCAAAUCUACCUUUAAGAGACUCACUGCUCAUGCUAAGAUGGCUGUUACUGCGGCAAGUGAUGCGGAGUUACCAAAUUUAACGGCGUUAUCCCCCUUGGAUUGUCGGUAUUGGGAUAAAGUGAAGGAGUUGUCUCCUUAUUUGAGUGAAUUUGGGCUAAUGUAUUAUAGAGUUCUUGUUGAGGUCAAAUGGUUGUUGAAGCUUUCACAAAUUCCUGAAGUCACUCAAGUUCCCAACUUCACAGAAGAAACUCAGUCUUAUUUGCAAGGAUUGGUUGAUGGAUUUAGCAAGGAUGACGCUUUGGAAAUUAAAAAAAUUGAGGAUGUGACAAACCAUGAUGUAAAAGCAGUUGAAUACUUCUUAAAAAAGAAGUGCCCAGUGCAUCCAGAGAUAGCUAAGGUGCUUGAAUUUUUCCGCUUCGCUUGCACAUCCGAGGAUAUCAACAAUCUUGCCUAUGGUUUCAUGCUGAAAGAUUCAAUGAACAAGGUCAUCUUUCCUCUGAUUGAUGAAUUAAUUAAAGCAAUAUGUAACAUGGCUGAAGAAUAUGCUUCCACUCCAAUGCUUUCUCGCACUCAUGGACAGGCAGCUUCGCCUACAACUUUGGGAAAGGAAAUGGCAGUUUUUGUUUCUAGGUUACGCAAACAACGGAAGAAAAUGGCUCAAGUUGAGAUAAUGGGAAAAUUUGCUGGUGCAGUUGGAAAUUAUAGUGCAGAUCUUGUUGCAUAUCCUGAAGUUAACUGGCCUUCAAUUGCCAAAGAGUUUGUGGAAUCGCUAGGGUUGCGCUUUAAUCCAUUAGUCACUCAGAUUGAACAACACGACUAUAUUGCAGAACUUUUUCAUGCAAUUAUCAGAUUUAACACUAUCUUGAUAGGUUUUGAUGAAGACUUAUGGGGAUAUAUAUCCUUAGCCUAUUUUAAGCAGAUAAUUAAAGCUGGUGAGAUUGGGUCGUCAACUAUGCCUCACAAAGUAAAUCCUAUAGAUUUUGAAAAUAGUGAAGGUAACCUUGGAGUCGCCAAUGGAAAUUUAUCUCAUCUCAGUGAGAAGUUGCUUAUUUCACGUUGGCAGCGGGACUUGACUGAUUCAACUGCUUUGAGGAGUAUGGCCGAUGGUUUGGGACGUUCUCUUUUAGCUUACAAAAGUGCAUUGAAGGGAAUAGGGAUGCUACAGGUGAAUGAAAGUCGUUUGAGUGAAGACUUGAAUAAUUCAUGGGAAGUGCUUGCGGAACCAAUCCAAACUGUUAUGCGGCAAUAUGGCGUUCCAGAGCCUUACGAGAAGCUGAAAGAGCUGACGAGGGGAAGAGAUGUUACCAAAGAAAGUAUAAGAGAAUUCAUCGAAGGCUUGGAAUUGCCAGAAGAAAUAAAAGCUCAUCUAUUGGAGUUGACUCCACAUAACUACAUUGGAGCAGCCGAGAGCAUCACCAUGAAUUUCAUAAACGGGAGGAAAGCUCUGUGAAGCAAUGGUUACAAGUUGCCCAGAGACGGUAUUCUUAUAGCAGAGGAUGCGACCGGGUAGUUUGCGUUAAAAGAAAGUUAUUGAAACAGAUCACAUGACAUUUUAGUUUUAUUCUCUUUGGUGUCCCGAAGUAGCAAAGUUUGGGACAUGGUAUGCAUUUCAUAUAUUUCACUCUUGCAUUUGCUCCACAAGCAAAAAAAAGUAAGUUUGCAUAAACAGCUUACUGAGUCAUUUGUGGAGGUAAAUCUUUUUACAUUUUUUACUUCUCAUACUGUAAAAUACAGUAAGGUGUGAACAACUUUGUAAUGUCACUAUGUAGAAAUAUCUGUGCAACUUCAAAUUAAGUUCUUGUACUUAUCCA